rnacentral:piRNA from 1 species
UGGUUCAUCGUUUAGUGUAUU